AAGUCGUAACAAGGUUUCCGUAGGUGAACCUGCGGAAGGAUCAUUAAAGAGUAAGGGUGCUCAGCGCCCGACCUCCAACCCUUUGUUGUUAAAACUACCUUGUUGCUUUGGCGGGACCGCUCGGUCUCGAGCCGCUGGGGAUUCGUCCCAGGCGAGCGCCCGCCAGAGUUAAACCAAACUCUUGUUAUUUAACCGGUCGUCUGAGUUAAAAUUUUGAAUAAAUCAAAACUUUCAACAACGGAUCUCUUGGUUCUCGCAUCGAUGAAGAACGCAGCGAAAUGCGAUAAGUAAUGUGAAUUGCAGAAUUCAGUGAAUCAUCGAAUCUUUGAACGCACAUUGCGCCCCUUGGUAUUCCGAGGGGCAUGCCUGUUCGAGCGUCAUUACACCACUCAAGCUAUGCUUGGUAUUGGGUGCCGUCCUUAGUUGGGCGCGCCUUAAAGACCUCGGCGAGGCCUCACCGGCUUUAGGCGUAGUAGAAUUUAUUCGAACGUCUGUCAAAGGAGAGGACUUCUGCCGACUGAAACCUUUAUUUUUCUAGGUUGACCUCGGAUCAGGUAGGGAUACCCGCUGAACUUAAGCAUAUCAAUA
rnacentral:rRNA from 1 species